rnacentral:lncRNA from 1 species
UGUUUGAUCACUUGCACUCAUAUAUGUAGCCACAUAUGGACGGUCUUUUACUGGAAUUUAACUUUCUAAAAGAAAUUAUUUAGAAUAAAAAAGUGAAUCAUGCAAGCAACCUCAGAAUUGAAGUUACCAGGACAAGAAGCAACCAUCCCAGGUGAAGUUUUGGUUGGAAAUAACUCUCUCUUUCAUAACAGAUAACAAGACGGCCUCA